rnacentral:tRNA from 1 species
GCUUUCGUGGUGUAAUGGUAGAACACUCGGUGCGUAUUCUAGAGGUCCAGGUUAGAAUCCUGACGAGAGCA